AAGCGUAUACAAAGUCGAGUCGGUUUAAGGAUACGUUCGUUGGGUAGGGGAGCGUUCUGUAAGCCUGUGAAGGUGGCCUGUGAGGGUUGCUGGAGGUAUCAGAAGUGCGAAUGCUGACAUAAGUAACGAUAAAGCGGGUGAAAAGCCCGCUCGCCGGAAGACCAAGGGUUCCUGUCCAACGUUAAUCGGGGCAGGGUGAGUCGACCCCUAAGGCGAGGCCGAAAGGCGUAGUCGAUGGGAAACGGGUUAAUAUUCCCGUACUUGGUGUUACUGCGAAGGGGGGACGGAGAAGGCUAUGUUGGCCGGGCGACGGUUGUCCCGGUUUAAGCGUGUAGGUGUGUGUUCCAGGUAAAUCCGGUU
rnacentral:rRNA from 1 species